GCCGCGGGUGGGGGCAGACUUCGCGGCCCCCAGAUCCCAGCGGGAGGCGCGUGCAGAGGCUGGAGCCCUGGCAGCCCGGAGGGGGUUGGAAUCUGGCCCGGCUCCCCCACCUGCCAGACAGUUUGGCGAGAUGAGUGUCCACAUCCCACCGCGGGGGAACAGGUUUUCCCAUUCAGGAGGAACCUGCAAAGGAGGGGGAGUGAAAUGGAGACAUCUGCUGGCCAGAGAUGGGAUGUGCACGUGGAUGCCUCCCAGCCCUGCUGGAUGCUAUCAGCUCACCCUUCCUGGUGAAGGGAAAAUGCUCUACAAGGCAAAGAGAAUCUGCUUUCCUGUUGUCCGUGAGCUAGAUGGCAGCUACCCUUCAACUGGAGUAUCCUUCUGUAGGUGACCUUGUUCUCUCCAUACCCACUCGGUGGGCUGGGUCCCCAUCCCUGAUUUAUCUGAGUGGGGGACCUGACCUGAACCAUUGGCAUCCUGGAGCUGAAUGUAGAAAGACCUGGCCACACCUCUGUUCCAUCGGUCACUACCACCCUUCUUCCAGCGCCCCCAUGGCUCCACCUUGUCCCCACACGAGGUGGAGUGAAGAGGCGGCAGGCAAGGUCUCCCUGAAACAUCUGAUGAUUCACUAUUGACUCCAUCACUCUUGUGAGGAAGAAAAUAUUUUUAGGAAGAUCCAAGCAAUUUCCUCGGAGGUUCCACUGACCAACACUGAGCCAACACUCACCUCUAAAUACAAAAGAAGCUGGGAAAGGUGGCAUCUGGAACCUUCAGUUCUCUGGCACAUGAGAAGAGUAGAGAAAUGACAAUGGUGGAGUCAGCCACUGGUGGUUUUGUUUAUUUAAAAUUUUGUAACUAUUUCAAACGUCUCUGUCUUUUCUAUAGUUUUUAGGUUUGUUUCUAUAAAUAAGCUGUAAAAUUCUUGAACAGUAAAAAUUGUGACUUCCGUG
rnacentral:lncRNA from 1 species